CAGCCGCCGCGGGAAUACAGAGGGUGCGAGCGUUAAUCGGAUUUACUGGGCGUAAAGCGUGCGUAGGCGGCUUUUUAAGUCGGAUGUGAAAUCCCUGAGCUUAACUUAGGAAUUGCAUUCGAUACUGGGAAGCUAGAGUAUGGGAGAGGAUGGUAGAAUUCCAGGUGUAGCGGUGAAAUGCGUAGAGAUCAGGAGGAAUACCGAUGGCGAAGGCAGCCAUCUGGCCUAAUACUGACGCUGAGGUACGAAAGCAUGGGGAGCAAACAGGAUUAGAUACCCGUGUAGUCCCUGUCUCUUAUAC
rnacentral:rRNA from 1 species